rnacentral:lncRNA from 1 species
CCUUCUCUUCCUGCUGUGGUGCUGGCUGCCCCUUAUGCUUCACUGGUGCCAAGAAAGUGGCAGCUGAGGUAGUUGACAGACUUCAGAAUAGGGUACAAUGUCCUCCUUAUCUAAUUAUACACUUGCUUAGAAGUUCCAGGGACUGAAUCUUAAAACAAUCCAAGCACCUAUAGAAUUUUUCCCCACCAGGAGAAUACCUCAAGGUUGCAGUUAAUUUACAACCUGAUUACGCCAGGAUGCCCCAGCCCAUUCACCAGAGGGGGCAAUGACUCAGGACAAGUCAUUGGUGCAAGUCACGUAGACCUGCAACUUCUUGCCCCUCCUGCAUUCUCCCUCUACUAAGCUUUCCUUUUUAAGCCGUUGCAUUCUGUCCAAAAUUUGAAAUGGUUUCUCUAAGGCAUGAAGCUGUUAUGGGAGGGGGACAGGGACGUGCUGGGUAGAGAAAAGCGGGUCCUGGGCUAGGGCUUCACCCUCAGGCCUGUGCCCACGGACCUAGGUGAGGACAGGCACUCCUGCCUUUGGCCCAAAUGUUGCAUUUUCCAAGACCACCCUGGCCUGCCAUGCCCACAUCCUGUGCCUAUAAAAACCCCAAGACCCUAGCAGGAACACACAAGCGGCUGGACGUGGAGAGAAACACAUCAGCGGAAGAACACACAAGCGGCUGGAUGUCCAGAGGAUGUCGAGAACACCAGCAUGCCAGCAGGCCAUUCUCCCGGUGGAACGUGGAGUUUAGCUGAGGGGGUUGGAAGACGCCUGGGCCGCUGAGUGGCCCAACUUCAGGGGAAAACCUUCCCACUCCAUCCACUUCUGGCUUCCCCCAUUUGCUGAGUGCUACCUCCAUUCAAUAAAACCUGCACUCAUUCUCCAAGCCCAGGUGUGACCCGAUUCUUCUGGUAGACCAAGGCAAGAACCCGAGAUACAGAAAGCCCUCUGUCCCUGCGACAAGGUAGAGGGUCUAAUUGAGCUGGUUAACACAAGCUGCCUAUAGAUGGCAAAAAUAAAAGAGCACGAGGUAGCACAGGCCCACUGGGGCCUCAGGAGCUGUAAACAUCCAUCCCUAGAUGCUACCGUGGGGUUGGAGCUCCACAGCCUGCCUGUCUGCAUGCUUCCCUAGAGGUUUGAGCAGUGGGGCACUGAAGAAGCGAGCCACUCCCCCUGUCGCACACCCCGCGAUGGGGGACAAGGGAACCUUUCCCGUUUGAGAGCCGGGGCCAUUUCCCCACUGUUAGCUCUGGAAUAAAGUGAGUUUUCUUCUACCACACCUUGUACUUGUUAUCUGACUUUGCAAGUGGUGAGCGACUGAACCUGCAUGGAGUUGCAAUAUUAGUGUUUUUUUUUUUUUUUUUUUUGAGACAGAGUGUCGCUUUGUCGCCUAGGCUGGAGUGCAGUGACGCGAUCUCGGCUCACUGCAAGCUCCGCCUCCUGGGUUCACGCCAUUCUCCUGCCUCAGCCUCCCGAGUAGCUGGGACUACAGGCGCCCAC